rnacentral:sRNA from 15 species
UUUUAAGGUUUUAUAGAAUUAUUGUGUACUUCGCGAGCUGCUAAAUGCCAUGAAGACUGCAAUUUUUUGCGGAGGCAACCCAUUCGUUGGCGAGCUUAAGGAAAUCAAGUGGUACAAGGGACCCAAGGGAGUAGACUGCGGAAACGUACAGACUUUUGAGUUUCUCAAAACCACAGUUCAAGGCUUUGGUGAGCUUUGGCCAAGAAUGUCCCUCAUCGUAGUCCCCAUGAAUCAGGUUCCAACAAGACCAUAAAUGAAGCUCAGAACACAGCUGACUGGCCUAUUACAAGGGGGAUAGCGUGAGACAAGGGGAGCCGCAAGACAUCCUGGCAGUCCUAGUGCCGGGACACUCCAGGUCCGCGGAAUAACAUAAAGGUGGUGCAGAUUAAUCUGCUUCACUCAAGUGUAACAUCGGCGGACCUGAACGAGAGUAUGGACGAGAAGACAGUAGACGUGGGCCCAAUGCAAGAGCCCUGCUUACGGUUACCGUCUGCUCACAACACAAUCUGCAGGUACCACAGUCUUGACGUGACGGUGGACCUAUACCUAUACCACCCUGUCUGUCAAGCGCGGAAGUAGGGAAACAACAUUGAGUUGUGCUACGAUGCAAACGUACAUCACUCCCUCUAGGGAAGUACUGGCACAAAUUUCAGGAGAGAGUCUCUGUUCGAGUACAUCCUCUUCACAAAUAUUGUUGGGUGCAACCAGAGAGACUACCACACUUUUUCCAACAGGAACCGUGCAGACAUAACCCUAACUACAGGAUAUUUUACAAUAUCAAAUGGGAAAGAGAGAGGGUCAAGGACUACGGAAAUCUUAAGUGGACUGACUGUAUCCGCUUGUCUACAACUGGAAAGAACAUAAUAUCUGACCACGCGAAAGGGGACAUCCUUCACACGGGAUUACUGAAGGAAGGAGCACAGUACGUCACCAAGGCUCUACAGAAAGCAUUUCUCAAAUCUUGCUCGAUCAGCCGACCCCCAAAGUCCAAUAGCAACUCGUGGCGGACACGGGAGUAAGGCGAAAUCAGGAAGGAAUCGAGGAAACUCUUCAACAAAGCCAAAGUAAUGUACACAUAAGACGGCUGGAAUGCAUAUCAUCUCAGCUUCAAGGUUUACUACAGUAAGUGUAGGAAGGUGAAAAGAGAAUCAUGGGCAGCCUUACGGGAAUAAAUAGACAGCACCACAGAGGCUUCAAGGCUUCAAAGAAUACUGUCAAAGCCGCCCACCACACCUGGACUGCUGCGUAACCAGGACGGUACAGUCGCAGAAAAUAGCCAGGAAUCACUGGAGCUCCUUAUGGUUGGAAAGAUAACCAGCACAAUAAAAAUAAAUGCUAACGUAGAUCCAUCCUCGUCAAAGAAGACAGUCACAAAAGGCACCCUACAGACAGUAGUCAUAUCACCAUUUCUGUGGAACCUGGUUCCCAAUGACGUUUUUUUUUUA